AAGGGCGGAGGAUAUAAGAAAAACAACAAAGGUGGAAGAUGUCAUAUUAAAAACAAAAACCCUGAAAUGGAGGUGGGUAGGCCACAUGCUCAGAGACACUGGAGAUAAAUGGACGAGGGAUGUGUCCCUGUGGACCCCUCGAUUUCACACCAGAAGAAAGAGAGGAAGACAAAGGAAGCGAUGGUCAGACGAGAUCAGAAGGGUUGCAGGCCCAUUAUGGCAGAGGACUGCAUUGUCCCGAGAGAAGUGGAAGGAGUUGGAGGAGGCCUUUGUAUCCCAAAGACACGCGGAUAUACGUUAGCAUGUACCCUUUUUGUAAUAUUGUCGAUCAACAUAAAUUGUAAAAAACAUUGUUAACUAUAUCCGCAAUAAAGGUUUAAUAAUAAAAUACAUAAAAAGUAACUUUUGACUG